rnacentral:rRNA from 1 species
GAUGAACGCUGGCGGCGUGCCUAAUACAUGCAAGUCGAGCGAACAGACGAGGAGCUUGCUCCUCUGACGUUAGCGGCGGACGGGUGAGUAACACGUGGAUAACCUACCUAUAAGACUGGGAUAACUUCGGGAAACCGGAGCUAAUACCGGAUAAUAUAUUGAACCGCAUGGUUCAAUAGUGAAAGACGGUUUUGCUGUCACUUAUAGAUGGAUCCGCGCCGCAUUAGCUAGUUGGUAAGGUAACGGCUUACCAAGGCAACGAUGCGUAGCCGACCUGAAAGGAAGAGCGGCCACACUGGAACACGAAGACGGACCGUACUACUAAGGGGAGCAGGAGUAGGGAAUCGUACAAAAUGGACGGAAGCGAAACGGAGAAGGGCAGCGUGUGUAACAAAGGUCUUCAGAUCAUAAAACUGUGUUAUGAGGGAGGGAGAAACAUGAAACUAACGACGCACGGCAGCAAGAAACCUACGACGAAAGCCACGACAAAAGUCGCG